rnacentral:lncRNA from 1 species
CCCCACCCAUCAAUAACUUCUUUAGCCUAGACCACCUUUCUGGGUCAUCAUUCCAAAUGUCAUCCAAAACAAGCAAAUAUUUUUUCCCAUCAAUUUUAUCUCGAAGUUGUUUUUGCAAUUGAUCCAUUUCAAGAUUUUGAUCAGGUGCUUGAUGAGUCACAGAUUUGAUAAUGUUUGCAACAAUAACUUUCACAUCAAAUNNNNNNNNNNNNNNNNNNNNNNNNNNNNNNNNNNNNNNNNNNNNNNNNNNNNNNNNNNNNNNNNNNNNNNNNNNNNNNNNNNNNNNNNNNNNNNNNNNNNUUUUUGACCAUUUCAUGGUUAUAGACAAGUUGGGCCAAAGCAGUCUUCCCUAACCCUCCAAACCCCACAAUUGGAAUGAUAUAAACAUUCUCUUCACUUUGAAACUCCAACACGAGUUUUAGAAGAGCUGCUUUAUCAUCAUCCCUCCCUAUUAUGUCAUCUUCACGCUCAAAAGAGUGCGUUUGCUGCCUCCUUUUAGUCAUGAAAGAGGUUUCCGCGGGGCGAUCACGUGGAAUGAAGCCAAAAGUGUUGGCCCCACUUUCAAUUGAAGCUAAUCUCGCCUUAAUGGCCUUCAUUUUCCGACCCAUUUUGAGACCAUAAGCAAAUUGGUUUGAGGUUGAGAAGAAAAGGCGUACCUCUUUCGUCAGCUUGUUCCCACCCGACAGAUUUUUCCGCAAAGCUUCAGUAGAGAAAUCAUCGAGCAAGUCGUCGGCAUCAUAAAGUACAUGUUUCAGCUCUUCAAGCCAAACUUUGACGAGAUUGUCGGUCACCGAUUUCUCUUCAGCAUCAAGAAGCAAAGCUUUGAUUUGACAGACAGUGCGUCUGAGGUCGUGGAUGUCAUGUUUGAGAUUCCACCACAGCCCAACUUGAGAGAGAGCACGAGAGCUCAACUUAAUAAUGAGCUCUGCGGCAAUGUCGGAAGCAAUUGCUUCGGCCAUUGUUGGUUCGAACUGAAAUCAAGGCAAAAAGUGUUUGAUUCGUGAGAGAGGAGGACUAAAAUGAGAACAAUCCCAGCAAGAUGAAACACAGAUGUGGAUCCAUCCACCCAGCAAGUAGUAUAAUUAAAUAAAAAGUAAUGUUGAUUGGUGGGAAAUGGUCCCUCCAUGUUUACUGUUUGACACAAAUUUCUGAAUGGAGACAAAGUUGAGAUGAUGACACUAGGGGUGCUCUGCACAACGUACAAAUAAUUGAAAUUAAUGAAAAAGCUAUGAAAGAAAAGAGAAAAAGGAGACAAAUCCCAUGGAAUCCAAGGUGUUUUGAUUGACGCCCAUGCAUUCUAGUCUUUCUAAGGAUGGGUUUGGAUGGGCGAUUGGGUGCGGUGCGGUGCGGUGCGUUUAACUUACUUUUGGUGUCACGCUACAGUAUCGCUACAGUAUCUAAUCUCACCACCACCUCUGUUUUUACACUAUCCGCACAUAAACGCACCGCCAAUCCAAACUCAUCCUAAACCUUCUUCCCACUUACUUUUGUGUAAUUGAGUGAGUCUCAAUACUCGGUUCUAACUUAAAUUUAAUAUUUUAUUUUUGAGUUUAACUUCGGUUAAAUAUAUAAAAUUAAAAUUAAAAUUCAUUGGCCACUAGAAUCAAAUAUUAUUAAAUUCGAAUAUGAUUAAAUCAAUAAUUUAAACAUAACUUAUUGACUACUAAAUCAAAUUUAAAUCUUUUUCGAAUCGAAUUUAAUUAUCUUACGAAUAUGAUUAUCAUGUCCUCCUUGUGAAAACUAAAGCAGUUGACAGUGCUAGUACAAUCUGCUUCAAAAAUGACAUUAUCGACUUUAAGAAAUUGAGCAAGCCGAAAACCAUCGAUGAGGGCAUCUAAUUCUGCUUUAAUAGUGAUUUUUUAUUCUCAUUUUAUCGGUAUAUUUACAUUUGAAUUCAAAUACAUAUUCUAUAAUUAACAUUAAUCUCACUGUUACAAUACUUAACCUCACUAAAUUACUUGUUUAACAUAAUUAUGGUGAAUUUAUAGAAAGAACAAUCACGAAGCAAAUGUAGAUGCACUUAUGUUUAAAAUGUUAUUAAUGAAAAUUUUAUUAUUUUAAAAAAUAAAAGUAUAAUAACUUUUUUGGCAUUCUAACUUUAUAAAAGAAUUAUUUUAGCUCUCUAUUUAUUUUCCUUCUUUUUUAGUCUUUCAUUUUACAUUUUUUUGUCAAACCAUCCAAAAUGGGUGAAAAAGUUGACGUUAAUUAACUUUGUUGACAUGACAUAUAGGUAGAUUACCACGUGUAUGUCACUUUAGCAAUUAAUUAUUUAAAAAAUAUUAAAAAAAUAUUUUCUUAUAAAUUUUAAAAUAUUUUUUAAAAUUUUUUAAAAUUUUAAAAAAUAUUUUAUUGCUUAUGUGGCAUAUACGUGGCAAUCCGCGUGUAUGUCACAUCAGUAAAAUCAAUGGACGUUAAUUUUUCACUCAUUUUGAAGUGAUUUGACAAAAUUUACAAGUUUAAGAACUAAAAGAAACGAAAAAUUAAAUGGAGAGUUGAAAUGACUUUUUCUAUAAAGUUGGAGACCAAAAGAAUCAUUAUGGCAAAAAAUAGUUGCCUUUCAUCUCUCUCUCUCUCUCUUUUUUGGUUAUUUUUUAGUGUUAAAAUUCAAGAUGGUAUGGAAUAGUUUUUAAUCUUAUUAUUGUUAUAUAUAUAUAUAUAUAUAUAUAUUUUUUUUUUUCGAUCUCAUUAGAGUUAAUCUCACUGUCAAUAUAAAGAGAGCCUAAAUAUAAUUUGUUCAUCUUCUUUUAAACAUGUUAGUGCUCCUUUGUAUGAUCAUUUACCUCCCGUAAGUAGGAUUGAGUAAAUAAAAUAAUUAAAAAUCGAUUCAAAUCAAGGUGUUUAGACGGUUUACAGAAUACAAAUUAAAAAAUCACAAUUAUCCGAAACUAAAUCAAAUUCUAUUUUUUAUUUAAUUUAUAAAUAAAUUUAUUUUUUAUAAUAUAAAAAUAAAUCUUUUAUAUUUAAAAAUAGUGAAAAUAAAUAUAUUUUAAAAAUAUUAUAUAAAAGUAUUUUAUUAUUUUUAUUUACUUAGAAAAAAUUUAAAAAUAUCUUUGAUAUAAACUUUCAAAAUUUUUCAAAUGAUAUUUAAAAACUGUAAAAAAAAAGUUUAUUUCAUGAAAAUAAUUAUAAAAAUUUAUAAUAAAACUUUGAACUAAACUAAAUUAUAAUGGACGGAUUAAAAAAUAGAAUCGAAUUAAACAAAUAUCACUUGAUUUUAUUGCACCAAACUGGACAUAAAAGAUUUUCUUAAAAAAUUUAACCUGCAAUGAGAUUGUUUUUCUCACUAUAACCUUCUAGAGGUGUUAUAUAAGUACAUACCAUAUGAUAAUUAUAAAUUUAAUUAUUUAAUUGUUAUAAAAAUUAAAUAUAUUACAAAUUAAUAUUUAUAUAAUGAUAUAUUGAAUACAUGUAAAUUUAUUAUCAUAAAUAUAUUUUUAAUUAUUAUUUAAUAUAAAUAAUUUUAUUAUAUUUUAUUAUUUUCAUUUAUAUAAAAUAUAGAAUUUUAAGUUUAUAAUAAUUUCAAAAAAUAUAUAAUUUUCAUAAUCAAAUUUUAUAUGAAUUAAAUCUAAAUAAGUAGAUAUGUAAUAAUCAAUAAAAAAUUAAUAAAAAUAUAUUUAUUAAUAAAUUUAUUAUUUACCAUGAUUGCAAAUUUAGUAUAUAUUAUAUUAUUUAGUGUUAAAUAUAAUCUUUCAUUUUACAAAUAUAAUUUAACAUCCUUAAUAAUCAAUUUAAGGUGAAAACACCUCUCUAGUCCCUUUCAAUUUUGAUAUCAAGCAAAUUGGUCCUUUUAAAAAAUUUAGAACAAUUUUAUCAUUGUUAAUUUUGAAAUUGAGCAACUAAGGAUAAUUAAUCACAACGUUAAUAUUUUUGUCAUCUAUACAUAAUUUUAUAGGUAUAAUAACAACUUUAGCCCUAAAAGUUUACACAUUUUGUCAAUUUAGUUCUAGUUUAACAAAAUCAAAUUGCAACAUUUACACAUUAUGUACGAACUGAAUUUGUUAUUAUACUAAUCAAAAUUAUAUACGAGAGACAAAAAAAUAUUAACAUUAUUGUUAAUUGUCCUUAGUUCACUUUUGAAAUUGAUAGGGAUUAAAUUGCUCCAUUUUUUUAGAGGGGCCAAUUUGCAAAAUAUUGAAUUUAAGAGGGAUUGAAGAGGUGUUUUUAUCCAUUUUUAACCUCACCUCACUACUACAAUUGUUACUGAAUCCAAAUAUAUAUCCAACACUGAUUAUUGUCACAUCACUAACGUAUUCAAUCUCACUAUUACAACAACUAAUUUUACCACCAACGUUAUUUUUAAUUUCUCUAGAAUUCAUCCAAUUAUACAUCCAAAGAAAACCAUAAACUUAUCUAAAUAAUUGUUAUAAAAAUUAAAUAUAUUACAAAUUAAUAUUUAUAUAAUGAAUACAUGUAAAUUUAUUAUCAUAAAUAUAUUAUUCAUUGAAUAUUAUUAUACGUGAUUUUAUAUAUUUAUUUUUUAUUCACUGAAUAAUAUAUUUUUAUUUUAUGUAAUUAAUACAAAUAUAAUAUUAUUCAAAUUGUGGUACAUAAUUAAAAUAGUGUAACAAUAAAAAAUUCAAACAUAAAAGUUUGAAAGUAAAUAAUAAUGAAAUAAAAUUUUUAGUGAUUUUAACUACUAAUUUAAUAAAAAAUUAAAACAUACUAUUCUUAUGUAUAAUUUAUAAUUUAAUAUAAAAUAUAAUUUUAAUUAUUUUUAAUAUAAACAUAGUUUUGAUAUUUUUAAUUAUUAUUUAAAAUAUUUUAUUAUAAUAUAUAAAUUAAUAUAUAUAAUAUAAAAAUCUAUAAAAGAAUUCCAAAUUUCAAUUAUUAUAAUAUAAAUUUUAUAUCUAAAAAUCCUGAAUUAAAUUAAAUUAAUUCAAUUGAAUUGGACAAACAAAUUCGACCGGAAAUCAUUUGAUAUGAUUGGUUGGAUUACCAAUCUAAUUUUAAAAACCUUGACCAGGACAACAUCAAUAUGUGAAUUUGUUUAAUAUUGUUUAUUUAAUAAGUCUAAAUUUUGAGCAUCUAAAAUGUUAAUAAAAUCUUAUUUCUAAUUAUUUUCAUACAUUGAAUAUGUCAUUUCACUUUGUUAGAACUUGUUUAAAAGAACAUUGUAUGCUUCAAUGGAAGUCACAAUUUUACGGAAAAAUUCCGUAAAAAUUUCGUUCGAAAAUUUCGACGUUUGGGCACUCAAUUUAGUCAAAAGGACUAAAUUGUAAAAAGUGCCAAAGUUGAGUUCUACAUGUUAGAAGUGUCUAAUUGUUAUGAGAUUAUAAGUUGGGGGUCCUUAUGUAGUAAUUAGACCAUUAGUUAAUUGAUGGACAAAAAUAGACAUAAGAAAUGGGUGAAAUAUAUUUUUUUAAGUAGGGGCAUUUUAGUCAUUUGGUAAUAAAAAGAAUAAAAUGGGAAAAAGAUGACAAAAAUCAUCAUCUUCUCCAUAAGUUGCUGUCAAAUUUGAAGAGUCACCAUAGCUAGGGUUUCUUCACUUUCUCAAGCUCAUAGUAAGUGCAUCCUAGCCCUGUUUUUAAUGUUCUUCGCAUUUUUGGAAUCCUCGUAGCUCGGUUUAGCUUAUUCUAUCAAUAAUUCAUGUUAGGGUUCAUAUUUGGAAAAAUACCCAUAGGUGAAAUGUGUUUAUUUUUCUGUUUUAUGGUAGAAUAUGAAGCUAGAAAUUAUGUUAAACAACUUUUGCUAAGUGAUUUUAAGCAAAAACGAGUAAAUCGACAUAAUCGGUAAAAAUAUUUAUUGUUCAUAAGUGUAUGUUAGAGUGAGAAUUUGAUGUUGCCAUAUAAGGGAAAAGUGUUCAGCAUGUUGUAAAACAUAAGAAUAAGGUGUGAAAUUUAAUUUUCGAGCUUGGGGACAAAAAUGUAAUUAUGCAAAAGUUUAGGGGCAAAAUCGUAAUUUUAUAAAAGUUGAGUCGAAGCUUGUUUUAAUAAAUGUGAAUAUUAAACAAGCUCAAUUUUCUGUUAUAGAUCAAGAAAGACGAGAAAUCAACCUUAAUCGGGGAAAAGAGAAGAUUGAGGAUUAAAUUGCAAAAUCUUUACAUUUUGUAUCGAGGUAAGUUGUAUGUAAUUAAUAUUGUUAUAAUUGUUUUCGUUAUAUUUUGUGACAAUAUACGUGAAAGGGUUGAUAUUAUAAUGUGUUUUGAAUGAGUUGUAAAUAUAUUUGGAAAGUAAGAAUCUUUGUGGAAAUGUCGUAAUGCUAAAGAUUUGAGUAAGGUAUCGAUGAACACGCGUGUAGUAUUGUGUGAAGGCUACUACGUGUAUCGAUAAGUAAUGUUCACAUGGGUAGUACUAAGUGAAGGCUACUAUGUGUACCAAGAAGCUUUGAGCACGUGUGUAGUACUGUGUGAAUGCUACCACGUGUCUCGGUAAACUACGGUCACAUGUGUAGUACUAAGUGAAGGCUACUAUGUGUACCAAGAAGCUUUGAGCACGUGUGUAGUACUGAGUGAAGGCUACUACGUGAGCCGUAAAACUUGAUCACGUGUGUAGUACUAUGUGAAGGCUACUACGUGAAUUGUAAAACUGAUCACGUGUGUAGUACUAUGUGAAGACUACUACGUGUAUCGAAUGAUAAAAAUAAUAUGAGUAGUACUAUGUGAAAAGCUCCGAAUAUUAUUUUAUAUAUACCGUCAUGAUGAUGAAAUUUGAGUAUGUGAUCGGAAUGUAAUAAGUUGUGAAAAUCGAUUGAAGUGAUGAAAUUUGCGUUGUGUUAUAAAAUAAGUGGUUAUAGUGCUAUGUGAAUAAGGAAUGUUGGAAUAGAACAGAUUUGGACAGUGACAGUGAUGUUAGUUUGAAAAAUCACCAAAAACUAUAAAAAUUGAGUUAGAGGUUGAAUAAUAUAUGAGAUUGAAGCUGAAUGAAUCUAUUUUCAUAUGGAAGAAACAAAGCAAGCAAAGGAGUUGUAUGUUUGGAGAUAUUUAAACUUUAUUGAGACAGGGUUGGAUUGAUUUCGAAAUCCCCUGUUUCAACUUUGGAAAAUCACCAAAAAUUGUAAAAAAAUAAUUAUGGCUUGAAAUUUAUAUUCUUGAAUUCCUUAAUGAGUCUAUUUUUAAUAGAAAGAAACAAGAACAUUGUUUGAAUUUUGUACAAAGAGUUAAAUAAAUUUUAGUGAAGAGAGGUCAGAAGUGUCAAAGAGUGAAACAGGGGAACAUUUAGAGAAUAAACUGUACUAAUUGGCUAAAAAAAAUUCUGAAAAUUUUAUGGUAAGAAUAUAUGUGAGUCUAGUUUCAGAGAAAAUUUACGGAUCUCAAUUCGGAGUUCUGUAUCUCCGGAUAAAAAUAAUUUACCGACUGUGAUGCAGAAAAACAGUUUGUUGGAAGUUGACUAAAUGAUAGAUUUAUGUGUGAUAGAAAUGAUAUAAUAUAUGAUACUAUCUUAGAAAUUUAUUUAUCGAUUACAUACAUACUUACUAAGCUGUAAGCUUACCCCUCUUUAUUUUUCCUUUGUUUUAUAGUGAUAUUAAUCAACUCGGGAAUUGGACGGAGUUAGAACAUCAUCCUCACUAUCAUCAUCAACUUUUGGGUAUUUUGCAAUCAAUACUUUUGAAAAAUGGCAUGUAUAGAUGACUUAAUGCAAUGUAGUUUAAACUUAUAUAUAUAUAUAUAUAUAUAUAUAUAUAUAUAUAUAUGUAUAAAAUAUCGUUUGGUUUAAAAUGUCGGUAUCUAUAAUUGAUGAAUUAUUUCCUUAAAUCUUUUGUUCAUAUAGUUUAGGAUGUUAUGGAUGAAUUAAUCAUGUCAGAACAUAUGAUUGUGUUUGGUUGAAAUAUCGAUGUUGCUUGAGAUUGUGUUUCGAAAAUUUGCAGGAGGAAUUGAAUAUUUAUGAAAAGAAACUAUGUCAAAAUUUUUGUAAAAGAAAAAAAAAAUUUGAUCGCUUGAUAACACUUCUCGCCUUGUUUCGACGAUGAAUACGGGUAAGAGGUGUUGCAAUAAACUUAUCUAAAUAAUUGUUAUAAAAAUUAAAUAUAUUACAAAUUAAUAUUUAUAUAAUGAAUACAUGUAAAUUUAUUAUCAUAAAUAUAUUAUUCAUUGAAUAUUAUUAUACGUGAUUUUAUAUAUUUAUUUUUUAUUCACUGAAUAAUAUAUUUUUAUUUUAUGUAAUUAAUACAAAUAUAAUAUAUUCAAAUUGUGGUACAUAAUUAAAAUAGUGUAACAAUAAAAAAUUCAAACAUAAAAGUUUGAAAGUAAAUAAUAAUGAAAUAAAUUUUUUAGUGAUUUUAACUACUAAUUUAAUAAAAAAAUUAAAACAUACUAUUCUUAUGUAUAAUUUAUAAUUUAAUAUAAAAUAUAAUUUUAAUUAUUUUUAAUAUAAACAUAGUUUUGACAUUUUUAAUUAUUAAUUAAAAUAUUUUAUCAUAAUAUAUAAAUUAAUAUAUAUAAUAUAAAAAUCUAUAAAAGAAUUCCAAAUUUCAAUCAUUAUAUUAUAAAUUUUAUAUCUAAAAAUCCUGAAUUAAAUUAAAUUAAUUCAAUUGAAUUGGACAAACAAACUCGACCCAAAAUCAUUUGAUAUGAUUGGUUGGAUUACCAAUCGAUUUUAAAAACCUUGACCAGGACAACAUCAAUAUGUGAAUUUGUUUAAUAUUAUUUAUUUAAUAAGUCUAAAUUUUGAAGCAUCUAAAAUGUUAAUAAAAUCUUAUUUCUAAUUAUUUUCAUACAUUGAAUAUGUCAUUUCACUUUGUUAGAACUUCUUGAAAAGAAUAUUGUAUGCUUCAAUAGAAAUCACAAUUUAUCUUUGAUCAUGAUUGUUCGCAACUGAGCUACUUAGUAAAUUAAAAAUCAGACCUCGACUAUGUACUGUAAGUGCAUUUUCCUACAAACUUUACCCUAUGAUUCAUUAGCCAAAGGUAUUCAUCCCAUCCCCCAAAGUCAUGAGAUAGAUUUGUAAGCUUUGUUUAUGUUAUAGUUAAGGUGGAUGUGUACGCUAGUGUGUGAGUUCUAAAUUAUAUUGUACAAAAAACAACCAAAAUUAAAUGUGUGUCAACAUCUUAUCUCCAUGCAAAUUUAAGCUAUUGAGCUAAUUUAUUCUUAUAAAAUAUUAAUUUUAUCCAAAAUUUUCUACUUCAAUACAGAAAUUAAUGUACAAAGAAAAUAAAAUUUUAAAAAUAUUAAAAUUAGUGGAAGAUAAAAGAAGACAUUGGAUAUAGGUAUAGCUGUUUUGUAACAACCUAAAAAGGGUCGUAAUUGCUGCAGGGCUCCCGCAUUCUCGUAUCCUCAAUAUUUGAUAAUCGAAUGGAGCUCAGCUAAGCAUUCAACCAAUCAUAAGAUGAAGAUGUGGGAUUCAUUACUCAAUCUAGCAAUGUCUUCAAUUUUGUACAACUCAAUCUUCAAAUUGCUUAAUGGUUCUUGCGUGAAACCCUUCCAUUAAAUGAUAGUAGAUCUACAUAAUGUACUCAAAAUUGCUUGAUAAUUAGUUGUGCUUGUGUUGGAACCUUAUUUGAAACAUCAAAAGAGAAAAAUAUGUUUUGUCUUGAGUGGACACAUAUAUAAAUAAAACUAAAGAACACAACUAAGAUAUUUACGCAGCUUGAAACUUGUCCUACGUUUGCAGCGCCUUGUUCAGAGAUAAAUCCACUAUAUAUUUUCUAGUACAAAGAAAUGAUUUAUGCCCAACUCUCAAACAUUUGGUGUCACCUCACCUUUGUACAAUGAAGUAAACUCUCGCCCAAUUCACUUUAGCUAUACAAUUGAAAAUCAACACUCAAAAGGUGUAUAACAAUGACACUCAAUAAUAAUUCCUCGCUAUGAGCGCAUGUACUCCUUUAAAUCCACACAUCAUCCACUAAACAAAUCAUCUAUAUAUAAGCUCCAAAAUGCACCAAGCUUUACAUAAGCUCCAUGUAAAGUGGAAUAACAAAUUUUCAAAUGCAAUAUCACUGGACCUAUGUAGAAACACUUACUGUUACUAAACGCUACUGUAUAUCAUGUGCAUAAAUGGUGGCUCACAGCAAACCCAUUGUCCAUGCUUUUUCAGUGCGUUCAAAGUUUAUACAUUCUGUCAAUUUAGUUUUGAUUUAAUAAAUUUAGCCUACAAUAUUUACACAUUUUGUCAAUUUGAUUCUAGUUUAACAAAAUUAGAUUGCAACAUUUACACAUUAUGUAUGAGCUCGAUUUGUUAUUAUACCAAUCAAAAUUAUAUACGAGUGAUAAAAAAUAUUAACAUUGUGGUUAAUUGUCCUUAGUUCACUUCCGAAAUCGAUAGGGAUUAACUUACUUAUUUUAUUUUUAGGGGGGCCAAUUUGCAUAAUAAUGAAUUUGAGAGGAACAAAAGGUGUGUUUUUGCCCAUUUUUAUCCUCACCUCACUACUACAAUUGUUAUUGAAUCCAAACACGUAUCCAACAAUAAUUUCAAUCACAUCACUAUGGUAUUCAAGCUCACUAUUACAACAAUUAAUCUCACCACCGCUGUUAUUUUUAAUUUCACUAGAGUUGAUGGAAUUGUCCAUCCAAUGAAAGUCAUAGACCUAUCUAAACACAAAUACAAAGAUAAAAACUUAUUUAGAUAUAAAUUGAAAAAUAAUUUUUAUUAUUUGACACAAUUAAAAUGUAAUUACUUGCUUGAUUGAUACAUUUGCUCAAAGGUAAUGUAGCCCCUUCCAUUUUAUUAUUUGCUUAAUUUUUUUUGUAUGUGAUAUUUUGAUCUGUUCAUAAAUGGAAUGUUUCAUGGUGGCUAAGUUUCUUAGGGGAUAAAUUAUGAGUAGCAUUAUUUGUUUGUGCAGUGAAAUUGUGAUGUCUAUAUUUUAAUCUAUUUCUGUAUUUGAUGAUGUAGUGGAGUUUUAAUAUAAUUGUAAUUGAUGGUUUGUUAGUUUUAUGUACCAUAAAUGCUAUAGUAAGAGAGUUUAAAGCCGAACAUUUAAUGUCGUGCUCUAUAUGAAGAAAGGUUGAUGAGUGUUAGUUCUUUUGAUGUUUUGCCUUUGAUGGAUGUUUGAAAAAUGAUUCAGUUGAUAUCCAUAAUGUCUACCACUAUAGUUUCCCCCUUAUGUAGAAUAUGACUGCUAGUAUGUCAGGCAAUAUUAUGUUCGUAUAUUAUGUUCUUUUUCUUAUUGUCUUCAACACGAUAACAAGUGAAUUACUAGUUACUUUACUUGAUUUUGUCAUGCCAUUUUUCUCUUUGAGUUUUGGCCUUUCUGAAUUAACUUUUGAAUCACGUAGUGAAGCAUUUCUGAUGGUUCUUAUGACUAACAGUAAGUUCUCUUAUACAAGCUCCCCUACAUAUGCAUUUCUUAAACUUAUGCUCUUUUCUUCAUUUCAGUUGGUUGUUAAUCUUGAUAUAACCAUGCACAAAUACUAAUACUAAGGGACCUUGUAAUUUUGCCUGCCAUUGGAACUACUCUGAAAUAUUGCUGAUUUUUCUCAGCAAUUAAAGAGGAAGAGCGCAGCAGACAAAAAUGAAGUUUUGUCUAGCCAACAUAAUACAAGAUGUGCUAUUCAACUUGUAGUUUGAUGUGUGCCAACAUAAGCAUCAACACACAAGUCAUACGUAUAUACAGCCAGGAAACCAACAUCUUUUGGAAGAGUCCUAAUCCAAGCAUCAUAAUUGAACAUAGUCUUGGAAUACUGUCUAAAAAAAUGGUUGUCUCAUAAUCAAUUGUGCAUCCCUGCAUUUGAAUGCUGUUUCAAACACUAAAAAAACAUAAAUGUGUUUUUUUCUGAGUUGACACUUAUUAUGCAACAAGGAAAACAAAGAGCACAAUUAAGAUGUUUACACAGUUCAAAACUAGUCCUACAUCUGCGGGGCCUUACCCAAAGAUGAAAACACUAUGAACUUCAUAGUACAAAGAAAUGAUUUAAGCCUAACCUCUCUAACACUUGAUGCAAUCUCAACUUCAACCUCACCACCAAAUAUUCCGAAGCAUCUUCCUUUUUUUCCUGUUUGGACCUUCAAUAACAAAUUUGGCUGGAACUCCAAACAGCUAAAAGAGUGCCCUGCAUCAAUAAAUAUUAUGAAUUUGAAUACCUCCAAAAGCCAGUUACCAUCUAAGAUAGUAAUCAGUUGGCAUAUAUUAAGAGAAAACAUAAAUACAUAUAAAGAUAUGAUAUGUAAGUACUUAAAUGAAGAAAGCAGAGCAUAUAGUACAACCAUUUUGCAGGCUUCAUAGGCCUCUCUCUCCACAUCAAUGAUUUUUUAGAAUUAAAUUAUUAGAAGCAAUCGUCAAGUUAUUAUUAUGAUUUAAAAGUAAAAAGAAAGUAGAUAAAUUAGCACCUCUUUUUAUGCAUAUAAAAUGAUUGAAGUUCACUAAUGCCUUUCUCCAAUGCCUUACUGCACAAAUCAGCAAAAAAUAUUAUGAAAGAUGAUAAGUAAAAAGUAGGAUGAAAACAAAGGGAUUUUAACAAGGAAAUUAACAGUAUCCAACUUCAAUGAAAAAUGGCAUCAGACCCCUGACUUGGAGAUUCAAUAUACCACUCUUAUUUUUCUUCAAAAAAAGAUAAGGUCAUCAUAAUAAAUAAAUAACAAAGACAGACCAACCUGAUACAUCCGAAUGUUGGGGAUGUGAGCAAUCUUUUGCCAAUCAGCGCCAAUGUCCUUCCGAUAUCUUUCCUCCAACUGAGGAAUUUCUCGUAUUUGUAAAUACUCCAAACCGGUUAGGCAACGCAUCUCGUCCGGAAGAGAUGUUAAAUUGGGCAAAUUGACGAGAUAAAGCUCUUGCAGAUUUGUUAGAUGUUGAAGCCACUCCGGUAGAUGCCGACACUUUGGAAUAUUUAGCAGCCGUAGAGAGCGUAGACUUGUAUGAUCUUGGAAUAUUUGGAUGCCAGCUCCAGAUAACUCCAGCUCCUUGCAGUCCUUUACUUCAAACUCUUCAAGGAAAGUGAGAUGUUGGAACACAGGAAAGAGUGACCUCAAUCCAUGGCAUUCACGAAUUUCUAAUGUUUUCAAUUGAACAAGAUGUUGAAGAGAAAUGAGGAGAGACACCAGCUUUGGAAUAUUAUCAAUCUUCAAUUGAGAGAGAUUCUUAAGGGGUUCCCAUUGCAUGCCCUCUAAAUCAACCUCCUUGCAAUCUCUUAUUGUUAAUCUUUUGAGGCUGGUGAGAUGUUCAAACACAGGAAGCAGUGACCUCAAUCGAUUGCAGUUCUGAAUUUUUAAUGUUUCCAAUUGAACAAGAUGUUGAAGAGAAAUGGGGAGAGACACCAGCUUUGGAAUAUUAUCAAUCUUCAAAUGAGAGAGAUUCUUAAGUGGUUCCCAUUGCAUGCCCUCUAAAUCAACCUCCUUGCAAUCUCUUAUUGUUAAUCUUUUGAGGCUGGUGAGAUGUUGCAGGCACUCAUCUAGCAUGUGAGUGUCCAACCCCUCAAUGUUGUGUACAUGGAAAGAUUUCAAUUUGGAGAGUGGAAGAGAAGAGGUUGAAGUUGAUGGGGCCUUAGCGUUGAUGUUCAUCUUGAUAGUCUGCUUUAACGACCUUGAACUGGUAUUCGACAACAUUAGAUCUUCAUCGAGUGAUGGAUACAGUGGCAUCAAAGUCAAAGGGCAAUUUACAAUCCAUAAAGAGGAAAGACAAGGAAAUGCCAUGGUUGAUGUUCCCAUAACUGUUGUGUCGUCCUCGUUGGAAUCAUCAUCGAUUGGUUUUGUUGUCCUCCACCAACUCUUCAUAUUUGGGCAAUUCUCGAGGUGAAGACGCUUAAGCGAUGGGAAGAAUGAGUUAAUCUCACCACCAACAUUAUUUUUAAUUUUACUAGAAUUGAUCCAAUUAUACAUCCAAAGAAAACCAUAAACUUAUCUAAAUACAAAUAAAACUAUUAAAAAAACUUAUUUAGACAUAAAUUGAAAAAUAAAUUUUAUUAUUUCACACAGUAAAAAUAUAAUUACUUGCUUGAUUUAACCCAUUCAAUUUGGUCAGAUUGAAGGUUAUUCCUUGAUAAGAUAUUAUUAUUAUUAUUUGCUUUGGGCAAACUUAAUACAACUUGAUUUACUCUUUAUUAAUUAAAAGCAUUUUAUUUAUAUUUAAUUAUAAAAAUGUGUAUAUAUUAUUAAAAUAUUAUUUUUUAAUAUUAAAUGAAUAGUGAAAUAAGGUCAACUUAUAAGGGUUAAAGUAUUUAGGAAGUCCCUAUAUUAUAAACUGUAUCAAGUUAGUCUCUCAAUUUAAAAAGAAUCAAAUUAUAUCAAAUUGUAACAGAAUUAACAUUUACUGUAACAAAUUUAACAUUAACAGAGUUAACAAUUUUCAAUACAUUUUUUAUGCAAUAAAUGUUAACUUUGUUGUAAUUUGGUUUUAUUUGAUUCUUUUUAAUAGUAUAGAGACUAAAUUGACCAUUUAAUAAUAAAGGGACUAAUUUGAUGUAGUCCCUAUAAUAGAGGUACUUUCACCCUUAUAUAUGUGCUUGAAUCUUAUUUUGGAUGAAAUUGAACAAUUGAAAAAGGUAAAAAUAAAUGAAAUUAGCACAUUAAAUUGUAAUUAUAUACAAAAGAUUCUUAGGUAUGAGUAGGAAAAUGGAUGCCAAACAUAUCGUAAGAUAAGAUGAAGCUUCAAUUUUGGUUUGCUGACAAUCUUCUUUUUUGGAAGUCAUAUCAAUUACGACUGUUUGAAUUUUUAACAUCUAGCGAUGAUUGUCAAAAUAUUAUACUAACAAAUUAGCCAUAAUCACUUAUUUAGCUCUCCAACUUUACAAUAAAAAUCAUUUUAGCUCUUCAAUUAAAUUUUUGUCUCUUUUAGUCCUUAACCUUGCAUUAAUGUUUAUCUAUUUUAGAGUGAUCUGAUAAAUAAUGCAAGUUUAAGGACUAAAUCGAUUUUUCAUAAAGUUAAAUAUAAUAGAGAAUUUAAAAACAAAUGAAAAUAUUUAUAUUUUAUUUUAUAUUUGUUUAAGUUCGGCCUGGUCCAAAAUAUAAACUUAAAAAAUCUGUUCAAAUUUGUAAACAGCUAACUCAAACUCAUUUUAAAUCCACUCGUUCUAUUUUUAAAAAAAAUUAAAAUGUAUUUAUAUUAUUUUUAACUUAAUAUUUAAUAAUUUUAUAUUUUUAUUAAAAUUUUAUAUAGUCAUCUUAAUAUUAAUAAUUUUAUUUUUAAUAGUUUUAUUAAAAUUAAAACCUUGACCAGGACAACAUCAGUAUGUGAAUUUAGUUUCGUAUUUAUUUAAUUUGGUUAGCACAUAUUAAUAGUUUUCAUAGUCUCUUUAGUUUUUGUUUUUUUGGGAUUGUGUAGAAUUUAAAAUUUUAGAUAUUUUUAUGUUCAUAUUUUCUUUUAUAAAUAUAUAUUGUAAGCUCUCACUAAUUUUUUCAAGCUUUUAGGAGUUCCUUCUAUUGAAGCAAUAUCAUGAUCAAAUCUAUAAUCAGUAUAUAUGAGAAAGAAAAAAAAAUAUAAAAUAAAAUAAAUUAAAAAUUAAAAAUAGACUUGGACACUUAUGGAUGUUAAAUUUAUAAUAAGUUCAAGUAAAAUGGCUAAAAUAAUCAAACUACCGUCUAACUCAUGCUAUGAAAACAUAUAAUCACAGUUAAAAAAAUAUUGUAUAUUUUGAUGAAAGUCACAAUUUAUCUUUGGUCAUGCUUGUUCGCAACUAAACCGCUAUAAUGUAACUACAUGUUCUUACAAAUCUCGCGCUAGUCGACUUUGCCCUAUGAUCCAUUAGUCAAGGGUAUUUAUCCGAUUGAUUUGUCAGUUUUACCUUUUUUAUACUUUAAGUAAAUGUGUACGAAGUGUGUGAGUUCCAAGUUAUACUGUAACAAAAAUUGAAAAUAACUGACAAGACCAAAAUGAAACAAUUAAUACCCAAAAUUUUCUUCUUCAAUAUAGAAACUAAUGCACAACGAAAAUAAAGUUAGUAAAUUAGUAGGAGAUAAAAGAAGGGUAUAGAUGUUUUGUAAGAAGCUAAAAAGGGUUGUAAUUGUUGCAGGGCAUCCAUAUUGUCAUAUCCUCAACACUUGGUAAUUGAAUGGAGCUAAGCUAAGCAUUCAUUACUCUUGGAAUUGCUCAAUGGGUGUUCCGUGAAGCCCUUUCAUUAAAUCAUAGUCCACAUAAUGUACACAAUAUGGCUUGAUGGAGGGGCGAGAUACAACUAAAAUAUAUGUCAGGGGAUAAAGCUAAAUAAUUUAAGAAUUUUAUUUAACAAUUAAUGAAUCAAACGAUAUCAUAUUAUUAUAUGUUUAAUGAAUAAAUAAUUUUAUUGUUUUAAUAAAGUGAUAUUAUUGUGUGUAUAAUACAAUUAUAUGAUACAUCAAAUAUAAAAAUCCAUUAAUUUAAUAUCUUAAAAGUGUGCAUUUUGUUUAAUCUAAUGUGUUAAAAAAAGAAGAAGAAAUAAUCCUCUUAAAUUUUAUAAUCUCGUCGUGUUUUUAAUAUGUUAGAAUCAAGUUACCAAUAUGAUGAGUACACAAGUAUUUACAAUUUAAUCCAUGUCAAAUGAGAACAAAAAUUUAAAACUUAAAUUGACAGCUACAAAAAUGAAAUAAUUUUAUUGAUAUAAUAUUAAUACUUUCAAAUUUUAAUUAAAAUAUUUUAGAAUUUAUAAAUUAAUUUUAAAAAAAUUAAUUAAUAAAUUGAGAAUAUUUAAUACAAAUAACUUCGUAUAUGAAUAUAAAUAGUUAUAACACAUUUAUUAAUAAAUGAAAAUAAUGUUGUUUGGAGUUUUCUAUUUUUUCAUUAGCCAACUGAUGAUAAAAAUGAUAAAAUUGAAUCGUUGGGAGACUAUUUUGUAACUUUUCAUAAUUGAGUGACCAAAAUAGAAAAGGAAAACUUAGUCGGGUGACUACUAAAGUAGGUUACCCUUUUUUAGGUUAAAAUAUGCCAUAUGUCCUUGUACUCACCAUAAAUUUGAAAUUUAGUCUCUAUACUUGUAUUUAUAGGAAUUUAAUUCUUUUACUUUUCAGAGUUCAAAUUUUAGGUCCAAUUGUUAAUACUGUUAAUUUUUUUUGUUGAAUUUGUUAGUGUGACAGUUUGAAAUAAAAAAAAAACUUACUUGGUAGCCAUGUAACUAAGAAUAUGACAUUUUAAUGAACCUGAAUUUAAUAAAAUAAUUUUAACAGUAUUAACAGUUGGACUUGAAUUUUAAAAUUUAAAAAGUAUAGGGACUAAAUUCUUUAAAAUAAAAAUAUACAAACUAAAUUCUAAACUUACAAAAAAAAAAAUAUAUAUAUAUAUAUAUAUAUAUAUAUAUAUAUAGGACUUGGGGGAUUUUAAUUUUGUUAUGGUAAAUAAGGGGAAAUAGAGAAAAAAAAAAGGCAAUUAAUAUGUGAACAAAAUCUACAUGUUUGCAAUUUCUAGAUAAUUUUGUGAUUAAUAGAAAUUAUUUUUCGAUUCAUUAAGGUUAAAUUUUUUUCAGAAUUUUUAUAGCAGAAUUUAAACCUUAUUUCUUCAAUUCUUGCAUCUUCGAUUAAGGUCCACUUAGCAAUACAAUUUUAGAGAUUAAAAAAGUUACAUUUCCAUAUAAUGUUUCUUGAGAAAUUUUUUUUCUUUUUCAAAGUUUCAUUAAUAUACAUGCAUUGUACGUGAUUUAUUUAUUUAUUUUUAUUCACUAAAUAAUAUAUUUUUAUUUUAUGUAAUUAAUGCAAAAUAAUAUUAUUCAAAUUGUGGUACAUAAUUAAAAUAGUGCAACAAUAACAAAUUCAAACAUAAAAGUUUGAAAGUAAAUAAUAAUGAAAUAAAUUUUUUAGUUAUUUUAACUACUAAUUUAAUAAAAAAAUUUAAAACAUACAAUUCUUCUGUAUAUUUUAUAAUUUUAUAAUUUUAAUUUUUUUAAUAUAAACAUAGUUUUGAUAUUUUUAAUUAUUAUUUAAAAUUUUUUAUUUUAAAUAUAUUCUUAAUUAUUUAUUUUACACAUACAUACAUUUUAACUUAAUGUUCUUAAUAGUAAUUUUCUAUUUUUAUUCCAUUGCUACAUUUGCAUUUGAAUUUAAAUACAUAUUUCACAAUUAACAUUAAUCUCACCGCUACAAUAUUCAAACUCACUAAAUUACUUAUUUAACACUAUUAUAAAAAUAUAUAUAAAUAUUACUAAAUUAUCAAUUUUUAAUAUUAAAAGAACAAUGAAAUAGGGUCAGCGUGAAGAAAACUUAAAAAAAAAAUUGUACCCUAACCAAAUUAUAGACAAGGCUAUUGAUUAAUUUUUAAAAAAUAAUAUUUUAGCUUAUAUAAGAGUUAAAAUAUUUGGAAAGUUUAAAAUUAGUCUCUCUAUUAUUAAAUGGACCAAUUUUAUCACAGUACUAUUAAAAAGAACUAAAUAAGGUUAAAUUGUAACAGAUUUAACAUUAAUAGAAUUAACAAAUUUCAAUAUAUUUUUUAUAAAAUAAAUGUUGACUUUGUUAUAAUUUAACUUUAUUUGAUCAAUUUUAACAGUACAGGUAAUGGAUCAAUUAACCAUUUAAUGAUAGAGGGACUAAUUUGUAUGCAGUCCCUAUAGUACCGGUACUUUAACCCUUAUAUAUAUGUUUGAAGUUUAUUUUAGGAUGAAAUUGGAAAAUUGAAAAAAGUAAGAGUUCAAAAAGUAAAAACAAAUGAAAUUAGCACAUUAACUUACAAAAUAUAUUUUUUAUAAAAUAAAUGUGUUUGGAACAUUAAAAAUGUGUUUUUUUUCCUGAGUUGGUACAUAUUAUUUCAAUUUUGAUGAGAAUUGUACUCUCACUUAACGCUUCAUGUCAUUCGCUUUUUCUUUUCUUUCCCUUUUUUUUUUUUUUUGUUGUGUGAUCUUUUGAUCUGUUCAUAGACAGAACUUUUCAUGGUGGCUAAGUUUCUUACGGGAUAAAUUAUGAGUAGCAUUAUUUGUUUCUGCAUUGAAAUUGUGAUGUCUGUAUUUUAAUGUGUGAGGUAUUUCCGUUUGUGAUGAUGUAUUUGAUGAUAUAGUGGAAUUUUGGUAGAUUAAAGUGCUCGUUUGCUGUACUAAGUUGAAAUUGAAUGAAUGCUGGCCUCAUCCAAUGUCCAAAACUUGAUGACUUCAACAUUUUGAUGCCUUAAUUUGAGAAGACUAAGUUAGAGUACUAUAAAACUUUCUAAGAAUGCUGAUGAGGCAUAGAUCUAGUGAUAUAAUAUAAUUGCAAUUGAUAGUAUGGGGAAACCUAAGUUUUAGUACCAUCAAAUAAAAUUGCUAUUGCUAGUAUGUUUGUUUUAUGUAAUAUAAAGCCAUAGUAAGAGAGGAAGGCUAUGUUAUGCUAUUCCAUUCUCGGUUUAAAGCUGAACAUUUAAUGCCGUGCUCUAUAUGAAGAAAGCUUGAUGGGUGUUAGUUCUUUUGAUGUUUUGUCUUUGAUGGAUGUUUGAAAAAUGAUUCAGUUGAUAUCCAUAAUAUCUAUCACUAUAGUUUCCCCCUUAUGUAUAAUACGACUGCUCUGCUAGUUUAUCGGACAAAAUUAUAUUCGUAUAUUAUGUUCUUUUUCUUUAUUGUCUUCAACGCGAUAACAAGUGAAUUACCAGUUACUUUACUUGAUUUUGUCAUGCCAUUUAUCUCUUUGAGUUUUGGCCUUUGUGAAUUAACUUUUGAAUCAAGUAGCGAAGCAUUUCUGAUGGUUCUUAUGGCUAACAGUAAGUUUUCUUGUACAAGCUCUCGUACAUAUGCAUUUGUUAAACUUAUGCUCUUUUUCAUUUUAUUUUCUUCAAUUCAAUUGGUUGUUAACGUAGAUAUAACCCUGCACAAAUACUAAGGGACCUUGUAAUUUUGCCUGCCAUUGGCAGUACUUUGAAAUAUUGCUGAUUUUUCUCAGUAAUUAAAAAGGAAGAGCGCAGCAGACAAAAAUGAUAUUGAGUCUAGCCAAUGGACAAGCAGUCCGGGGGUUACCAGCAUAUCCAACAGUCCUUUCCAGACACAUGUAUAUGCUAAAGGAGGAAGGAUAUAUAAUAGAUCAAAGACAUCAAAAGCCAAUAAAUCAAUGCCUCACACACCUGUGUCAAAUGCUGGUGCAAUACUAUUUCCCACUGGCUUAGUCCAUAGAAGGAAACUUAUGAUUCACUCCACGGCUCUAUCAUCAGUACCUCAUUGCUCGAAUUAAGAGAGAUGGAUUUUGUAGAAGAGGAAUCACUGACAUUAUAUAUGAUAAUUGGCAGGUUGUCCAUCUCCUCUUACACCUGCUGGCAGCUGCUGUUUAGAUAGUCCUUUAGGUAAUCUUUACUGCUCAUUCUUUUUUCUUUUAACAUAGUCUGUUUUAGCUCCUUAACCUGCUAUGGAUGGUGAGAACGACAAUAAUGCAGUCACCAUUUUUGGGUCUGUUGACGAAAAAGUUUGUCAAUCUGAUGAAGCAUGCUGAAGAUGGUAUCCUUGACCUAAAUAAGGCUGCAGAAACAUUGGAGGUAAUGACAUACUAGUGAGCUUAUGGAUCAUUGGGGGUUUGUUGAGUAUUUUUUCAUGUUACUUAUAGGGUUCUUUUGUCUUUUAUUUUUCCCUGUAAAUGUUGUAACAGGUGAAGAAGAGGAGGAUAUAUGAUAUAACAAAUGUCUUGGAGGGCAUUGGUCUUAUCGAAAAGAAGUUCAAAAACAGAAUACAGUGGAAGUAAUUACUGAUGAUGUUAAUCAUUUUUCAAGAAUUUGAUGUCUUAAUUUGGUUUGUCAUUCUGGUUAACCUUUGAAAAAUGUGAGACUUAUUUGAGGAUUAAUCAAAUUUACUAGGGGUGUUGGUGCUUCAAAGCCAGGAGAAACAGAUGGCGACGUCUCUGUAAUACAGGUACGUGAAAGUAAUGUCAAUUUUCAUUUCAUUGACAUCCAGCCAACAAAUUUUCUUGAUAUGGUUCACUAGGAUGUUUUCUGUUUCUUUAUUUUUGGUAAUGACUUUCAAGAGAAUUUUCAGUUACUCCUGAUUGAUUGAUUUGUGUUGCUUAUUUCUCAUACCUAUGAGCUUAAUUUCUAUUCUUUAAUGCAGGAGGAAAUUGAGAACCUUUCCAUGGAAGAGAGGAAAUCGACAUCUUUUGGAAGGGUCCUAAUCCAAGCAUUAUAAUUGAACAUAGCCUUGGAAUACUGUCUAAAAAUAUUGUCGUCUCAUAAUCAAUUGUGCAUCCCUUCAUUUGAACACUGUUUGGAACCUUAAAAAAACAUAAAUGUGUUUUUUCUUGAGUUGGCACGUAUUAUGCAAUAAGAAAAAUAAAGAACACAAUUAAGAUGUUUACGCAGUUUGGAACUCAUCCUACGUCUGCGGGGCUUUGCCCAAAGAUGAAUCCACUAUGAACUUCAUAGUACAAAGAAAUGAUUUAAGCUUAAACCCUCAAACACUUGAUGCAAUCACACUUUUGUACAAUUAAGUAAAUUCUCUCCCAACUCAUUUUAGCUAUGCAAGUGAAAAUUCACAUUCAACACUCAGAUGGUUUUCCUACUAUGAAUCAAGCUCUUAAUAAGCUCCAUGUAAAGUGGAAUCAUAAAUUUUCAAAUGCAAUAUGUUUGGCAAUAGACCUGUCCAUGGGCCGGGCGGCCUGGCCCGGCCUGACGGCCCGCCCGAAAUAUGGGAGAUAGAAUGUGUUACAAAUCCCAUUAUUAUCAGCCUUAUAUUUGCACAUAUGUGUGUUUAGUAUAAUGCUGUUGAUAUAUACAUAAUGAAAUAUUUUAUCAACUUCAACCUCACCACCAAAUAUUCUGAAGCAUCUUCCGUUUUUUCCUGUUUGGACCUUCAAUAACAAAUUUGGCUGGAAUUCCAAACAGCUAAAAGACUGCCCUGCAUCAAUGAAUAUUAUGAAUUUGAAUACCUCCAAAAGCCUGUCAAUAUCACAGGUACCAUCUAAGAUAGUAAUCAGUUGGCAUAUAUUAAGAGAAAUCAUAAAUAUAUAUAAAGAUAUGAUAGGUAAGUGCUUAAAUGAAGAAAGCAGAGCAUAUAGUACAACCAUUUUGAAGGCUUCAUAGGCCUCUCUCUCCACAUCAAUGAUUUUUUAAAAUUAAAUUAUUAGAAGCAUUUGUCAAGUUAUUAUUAUGAUUUAAAAGUAAACAGCAAAUAGAUAAAUUAGCACCUCUUUUUAUGCAUAUAAAAUGAUUGAAGUUGACUAAUGCCUUUCUCCAAUGCCUUACUGCACAAAUCACCAAAAAUAUUAUGAAAGAUGAUAAGCAAAACGUAGGAUUAAAACAAAGGGAUUUUAACAAGGAAAUUAACAGUAUCCAACUUCAAUGAAAAAUGGCAUCAGACCCCUGACUUGGAGAUUCAAUAUACCACUCUUAUUUUUCUUCAAAAAAAGAUAAGGUCAUCAUAAUAAAUAAAUAACAAAGACAGACCAACCUGAUACAACCCAAUGUUGGGGAUGUGAGCAAUCUUUUUCCAAUCAGCGCCAAUGUCCUUCCGACAUCUUUCCUCCAACUGAGGAAUUUCUCGUAUGUGUAAAUACUCCAAACUGGUUAGGCAACGCAUCUCGUCUGGAAGAGAUGUUAAAUUGGGCAAAUUAACGAGAUAAAGCCCUUGCAGAUUUGUUAGAUGUUGAAGCCACUCCGGCAGAUGCCGACACUUUGGAAUAUUUUGCAGCGAUAGAGAGCGUAGGCUUGUAUGAUCUUGGAAUAUUUGGAUGCCAGCUCCAGAUAACUCCAGCUCCUUGCAGUCCUCUACUUCAAACUCUUCAAGGAAAGUGAGAUGUUGGAACACAGGAAACAGUGACCUCAAUCCAUUGCAGUUACGAAUUUUUAAUGUUUUCAAUUGAACAAGAUGUUGAAGCCACUCCGGAAGAUGCCGACACUUUGGAAUAUUUUGCAGCCAUAGAGAGCGUAGGUUUGUAUGAUCUUGGAAUAUUUGGAUGCCAGCUCCAGAUAACUCCAGCUCCUUGCAGUCCUUUACUUCAAACUCUUCAAGGAAAGUGAGAUGUUGGAACACAGGAAGCAGUGACCUCAAUCCAUUGCAGUUAUGAAUUUUUAAUGUUUUCAAUUGAACAAGAUGUUGAAGCCAAAUGGGGAGAGACACCAGCUUUGGAAUAUUAUCAAUCUCCAAAUGAGAGAGAUUCUUAAGGGGUUCCCAUUGCAUGCCCUCUAAAUCAACCUCCUUGCAAUCUCCUAUUGUUAAUCUUUUGAGGCUGGUGAGAUAUUGCAGGCACUCAUCUAGCGUGUGAGUGUCCAACCCCUCAAUGUUGUGUACAUCGAAAGAUUUCAAUUUGGAGAGAGGAAGAGAAGAGGUUGAAGUUGAUGGGGUCGUACUAGUGAUGUUCAUCUUCAUGGUCUGCUUUAACGGCCUUGAACUGGUAUUCGACAACAUUAGAUCUUCAUCGAGUGAUGAAUACAGUGGCAUUGAAGUCAAAGGGCAAUUUUUAAUUUCUAAAGAGGAAAGACAAGGAAAUGCCAUAGUUGAUGUUCCCAUAACUGUUGUGUCGUCCUCGUUGGAAUCAUCAUCGAUUGGCUUUGUCGUCCUCCACCAACUCUUCAUAUUUGGGCAAUCCCGUAGGCAAAGAUGCUUAAGUGAUGGGAAGAAUGAUUGUGGUUCUCCUUGACUUCCUUUUGGGCUAUUAUCAUCCAUGUACUCCAGCUUAGUACAAUCAUAUAUCUCCAGCCCUUUAAGACAAGGAAAUUGCGCAAAGGACGGGAUUUGUUUGAAAUUACUACCACUUAUGUCAAUUGUGACGAGAUUUGUGAGCAAAGGAAGCCAACUUGGAAACUUGCCAUCACCCCUCCAUCCUGCAAUACAGAGCUCCUUGAGAUUAGGAUGGGGCUGGAGGUCUUCAAGUGACUUCUCAUCGUCAUCAUCAAAACGAAGGCUCCAUUCUAAAAGCAACGAUCUCAAAUGUUGCUUCUCUUUCAAAUUAGCAGCCUUAAACUUCUCUUUUGCAUUUUUUACGAAUCCCAAAUUUGUUAUUUGUAGACGUCCCCUUAAGUUGUUACGCAGUCUCAAUUCACUUAGACCUGCACCGCCAUGGGACCCAUCUUUAUCCACUACAAACAUGCUUAACGUCUCAAGUGAAGUCAGCUUCCCUAUUCCACGUGGCAUAUGAGUUAAACUAAAACACUACGACACCCAAUAUGGGUAAGAUUCACCAAUUCUUCAAUCUUCUUUGGCAAUUCUUUAAGCCCAAAACAGCAGUCAAGUUUCAGCGCUAGCAAAUUCUGAAUCUUGCAAAUACUCUUUGGGAGAAUCUUAAUAUUGUAAUUGGAAGAAAGGUCAAGGUACCUCAAAUGUUUCAACUUACAAAUGGAGGGUGAAAUCUUUUGAAUACCUAUAGAAUAUAAUUUCAAUACACGCAAGCAUCUACAAUUUGCAAUUAUCAAAUCCCAACUUUCUUCACUAAAAUCUUGAUCUAUGCUGUUUGGAAAGUGUAACAAGGUUCGCAACUUCUUUCCCUUAAACAAAGGAAUUAAUGAAGGAAUUAAUAAAGGAUUAAUUGAUAUGUGGCGACAUUUUUCACCAGCAUCACUUGCAAUUUUAUUUGAAUCUACAAUACUACUCUCCAUCCCUGCUACUGAUUCAGCUAGAUCUUGCAUUAAAUCAUGCAUUUUACAUCUCAUAUCCCCAAAUCCAUAUUCUUCUACCUCUUGAAAGAAACUCCUUUCAACUAAAUCUUUAAAAUACCCAAACCCGAUCUCCUCCAGAGAUUGACUUUGAUUCAAUUGCUUUAUGAAACCCUGUGCAAUCCAAAAUUGAACAAGCGCUUGCACUUGAAUUGUGUAAUCUGUUGGAUACAAUCGGCAAUAAGCAAAGCAAUGCUUCAAAUGAGACGGGAGAUGAUCAUAACUCAAUUUCAGUAUAGGUAGAAUUUCUCCUUCAAUUUGUGAAAUUUUAGCAAGUUCAUUUUCUUUGAAAGAAUGCCACUCAUUUGCAGUUUUCUUCUAAGAUAAUGUACCAGCUAUCGUCCUUAUGGCUAAGGGAACCCCACCACACCUUUCCGAAAUCUGUCUCCCUACUUCCACAAAGGCUGAAUUUGUUGAGUCUGCAUAUCCUUGCUCAAAUGCUAUCUUUUUGAACAAAGACCAAGCAUCAUCACCAGACAAGCCUUUCAAUUUCAAAACAUGGGAUUGACAUUUAUUAGUUAUCUCCGCCACCCUUAGAGAUCGAGUAGUUACUAUUAUCCUACUCCCUUUAGCCCCGCCCAUCAAUAACUUCUUUAGCCUAGACCACCUUUCUGGGUCCUCAUUCCAAAUGUCAUCCAAAACAAGCAAAUAUUUUUUCCCAUCAAUUUUAUCUCGAAGUUGUUUUUGCAAUUGAUCCAUUUCAAGAUUUUGAUCAGGUGCUUGAUUAGUCACAGAUUUGUUAAUGUUUGCUACAAUAACUUUCACAUCAAAAUCAUCUGAAACACACGCAAACAUCGUUAAGUCAAUUGAAGCUAAUCUCGCCUUAAUGGCCUUCAUUUUCCGACCCAUUUUGAGACCAUAAGCAAAUUGGUUUGAGCUCGAGAAGAAAAGGCGUACCUCUUCCGUCAGCUUGUUCCCACCCAUUAGAUCUUUCCGCAAAGCUUCGGUAGAGAAAUCAUCGAGCAAGUCGUCAGCAUCGUAAAGUACAUCUUUCAGCUUUUCAAGCCAAUCUUUGACGAGAUGGCUGGUCACGGAUCGCUCUUCUGCGUCAAGAAGCGCAGCUUUGAUUGUAGAGACGGUGCUUUUGAGGUCGUCGAGGUCAUGUUUUAGAUUCCACCACAGCCCAACUUGAGAGAGAGCACGAGAGCUCAACUUAAUAAUGAGCUCUGCGGCAAUGUCGAAAGCAAUUGCUUCGGCCAUUGUUGGUUCGAACUGAAAUCAAGGCAAAAAGUGUUUGAUUCGUGAGAGAGGAGGACUAAAAUGAGAAUGAUCCCAGCAAGAUGAAACACAGAUGUGGAUCCAUCCACCCAGCAAGUAGUAUAAUUAAAUAAAAAGUAAUGUUGAUUGGUGGGAAAUGGUCCGUCCAUGUUUACUGUUUGACACAAAUUUCUGAAUGGAGACAAAGUUGAGAUGAUGACACUAGGGGUGCUCUGCACAACGUACAAAUAAUUGAAAUUAAUGAAAAAGGUAUGAAAGAAAAGAGAAAAAGGAGACAAAUCCCAUGGAAUCCAAGGUGUUUUGAUUGAAGUCUUUCUAAACCUUCUUCCCACUUACUUUGUGUAAUUGAGUGAGUCUCAAUACUCGGUUAAAUUCAAUAUUUUAUUUUUGAGUUUAACUUUGGUUGAAUAUAUAAAAUAAAAAUUCAAUAAAACUCAUUCGCCAUUAGAAUCAAAUAUUAUUAAAUUCGAAUCCGAUUAAAUCAAUAAUUUAAACAUAACUUAAUGACUACUAAAUCAAAUUUAAAUCUUUUUUGAAUCGAAUUUAAUUAACUUACAAAUGAUUAUCAUGUCCACCUUUCUCACCCACCUACUUAGCUUUGAUUUUGUCUUUUAAAGUAACUUGGUGUCUAUAAUUAUAUAUUACGACAAUAGUUACUGUUAUAAUUGUUUGUCUAUGCAAUAUAUCAAAGUAAAAUAUAAGAGUUUAACAUUUGUUAACCCUGUUAUAAAAAUUUAAUUUAACUCUUUAAAAAUUAUAAAGAUAUAUUACUAUAAAAAUAUAUAAUUUAAUUCCGACUAAAAUUUUUUUUUAGCUUGGCUACUAUUGAAAAAUUAAUUUAGUUUUUGAACACAACAUGUGGAAAGAUAUUGGGUUUAUGUCAGCUCCAUGGGAAUGUAUUUAAUUGGUAUUGAAGGAAAAAUCAUUACUUAUACCAUCAUGAAGAUUGCUUCCACUGCUCAUAUCUAUUUUAUUAUUUUAUUACACAUAUAAUUGUUUUAUUGUGAGUUGGAUGAUUUUGGUUUUUUUUUAAGAUAUUUUAUUUUUAAAUAUAUUUUUAAAUAUUUAUUUUACACAUACAUGUAUUUUAACUUAAUACAUUUAAUAGUAUUUUUUUUAUAAUAAAAAAACCCAAAGGUCGCUACCUCAUUUUAAGUUGCAUCAUAAAUUACAAUGUUAUGAUUAUCGAUCGCUAAGAUAAUUCAUCUCAAAAGACAAAUUACUACACUUAGAAAGAGCCCAAUUACAAAGAGAAUCAGCUAAUUUGUUAUAACCACGUUUCACCCAUUUAACCUCGAAAGAAACAAAAGAAUCAAGCAUCUUGUGAGCUCCUUAAUGCAGUGAUCAAGGAUCGUUAUGUCCUCCUUGUGAAAACUAAAGCGGUUGACAAUGUUAGCACAAUCUGUUUCAAAAAUGACAUUAUGUUUAAAGUGUUUAUUAAUUAUUUUGCAAAAUGAAAGUAUAAUAACUUUUUUGGCAUUCCAACUUUAUAAAAGAAUUAUUUUAGCUCUCUAUUUACUUUCAUUUUCUUUUAGUCUUUGAACUUAUAUUUUUUUUUGUCAAACCAUCCAAAAUGGGUGAAAAAGUUAACAUUUGUUAACUUUGUUGACAUGACAUAUAGGUAGAUUACCACGUGUAUGUCACGUUAACAAUUAAUUAUUUUAAAAAAAUAUUUAAAAAUAUUUUUUUGAAUUUUUUUAAAAAAUAAUUAAUUGCUUAUGUGGCAUAUACGUGGCAAUCCGCGUGUAUGUUACAUUAGCAAAAUCAACAUACGUUAAUUUUUCACUCAUUUUGAGGUGAUUUGACAAAAAUUACAAGUUUAAGAACUAAAAGAAACGAAAAGUUAAAUGGAGAGUUGAAAUAACUUUUUCUAUAAAGUUAGAGACCAAAAGAAUCAUUAUUGCAAAAAAAAUAGUUGUUUUUCUUCUCCUUUUUUUUUUGUAUUUUUUAGUGCUAAAAUUCAAGAUGGUGCGGAAUAGUUUUUAAUCUUAUUAUUGUUAUAUAUGUUUUCGACCUCAUUGGAGCUAAUCUCACUGUCUAUAUAAAGAGAGCCUAAAUAUUAUUUGUUCAGCUUCUUUUAAACAAGUUAGUGCUCCUUUGUAUGAUCAUUUACCUCCCAUGAGUAAGGUUGAGUAAAUAAAAUAAAAAAAUAUUUGAAAAUUGAUCCAAAUCAAGGUGUUUAGACGGUUUAUGGAAUACAAAUUAAAAAAUCACAAUUAUUCGAAACCGAACCAAAUUAUAUUCUUUAUUUUAAUUUAUAAAUAAAUUUAUUUUUAUAAUAUAAAAAUAAAUAUUUUAUAUUUAAAAAUAGUGAAAAUAAAUAAAUAUAUUUUAAAAAUAUUAUAUAAAAGUAUUUAAUUAUUUUUAUCUACUUAAAAUAAUUUUAAAAAAUAUCUAUGAAAAAAACUUUGAAAAUUUGUCAAAUGAUAUUUAAAAGCCGUAAAAUAAAGUUUAUUUUAUUAAAAUAAUUAUAAAAAUUUAUAAUAACAAAAUCGAACUAAACUAAAUUAUAAUGGACGGAUAAAAAAAUAGAAUCGAAUUAAACUAAUAUCACUUGAUUUUAUUGCACCAAACUGGACAUAAAGGAUCUUCUUAAAAAAUUUAACCUGNNNNNNNNNNNNNNNNNNNNNNNNNNNNNNNNNNNNNNNNNNNNNNNNNNNNNNNNNNNNNNNNNNNNNNNNNNNNNNNNNNNNNNNNNNNNNNNNNNNNAGUACAUAUCAUAUGAUAAUUAUAAAUUUAAUUAUUUAAUUCUUAUAAAAUUAAAUAUAUUACAAAUUAAUAUUUAUAUAAUAUAUAUUAAAUACAUGUAAAUUUAUAAUCAUAAAUAUAUUUUUAAUUAUUAUUUGAUAUAAAUAAUUUUAUUAUAUUUUAUUAUUUUCAUUUAUAUAAAAUAUAGUCCUUAAAUGUUGAAGUCUAAACCCAACCCUUAAACAAAGGAAUUAAAUUUAAAGUUGAGAAAGAUAUGGAUGGUAGUAAUGGGAGCAUAAGCAUGUAGAAGCAAUGGUGGCAUUUCAUCUUAUUAGCAGCUUUGGAAUAGAUUCUUAAGGAUGAGUAGGAAUCUGUAUGCUUUUUUUUUAAUUUUUAUAUUUAAAACAUUAGUUAAUUGCUAAUGUGGCAUCCAUGUGUAUGUCAUGUAAGUUUAAGGACUAAAUUGAUUUUUUCAUAAAGUUAGAAGGUUAAAUAAACCAUUAUGCCAAAAUAUAAUAGAGAAUUUAAAAAAAAUGAAAAUAUUUAUAUUUUAUUUUAUAUUUGUUUAAGUUCGGCCUGGUCCAAAAUAUAAACUUAAAGUCUGUUCAAAUUUGUAAACAGUUAACUCAAACUCAUUUUAAAUCCACUCAUACUAUUUUAAAAAAAAUUUAAAUGAACUUAUAUUAUUUUUAACUUAAUAUUUAAUAAUUUUACAUUUUUAUUAAAAUUUUAUAUAUAGUCAUCUUAAGAUUAUAAUAGUAUUAUAAUUUUUAUUUUUAUUUGUUACAAAUUACAUAACAUAUAAAAUUAACAUAAUAUAAAAUAUUGCAAACUUAAAAAUUGGGUCGGACCCAACUUAGGCUUUGAAUAUUCAAAUUCAAGCUCGACUCAUAUUUUAAAUGGGCCUAUUUUUUAAAUUUAAUAGUUUUAUCCAAAUCUUCCAAAAUUUCAAAUGAGCCUUUGAGCUUGACAAAGAACAGUAAGUCUCUUUCCCUAUUAUUUUGGCUAAACAAUACUGUAAGAUCAGCUGAUGAAGAAUGCAUACAGAUCGACUCUUCAACAAAGAAAAAGAAAGAACAAAUGUGCAUAGAGAGGAGGAUUUCAUGGGAGCACAAUUCCAUGGACAGAUCAGCUGAUGAAGAAUGCAUGUCCUGCUUUUUGGCUCUUCCAUUGAACUCAUGCUGAAAAAGAAGUUGCUUAGUUACGAGGUUACAUUAGAUCAUCUGAAAUUAUGAGAUUAUUAUGAUUUUAAAAAUGUAAAGCAAUUUAGUAAUUACCACCUAUUUGCCUGCAUCUAAAUUCUUAAAGUUGUCAAAUGCCUUUCAGAAAAAUACAUGCCAAUCGAAUAUGUGGGCAGAUAAACAAAUGAGGGUAGAAAGUACGAUCUCUGCUUUUUGUAUUGCAUGCUAUGCUCUGCCGAAGAAUAGAGCCAAAAGCUAACAAAAAUGAAGGGUAAAAAGAUUAAUGGAAACCUUGUAGUUUUCAAAGGUGAAUAAAUAAGGACAAUUAAGAUCGGUGUUAACAGUUUUUACUAAUAUUUUGAAAACAUUUGAAAACAUUUUAAAUAAGUUAAUAUAUAUAAUAUAAAAAAUCUAUAAAAAUUUUCAAAAUUCAAUUAUUGUAAUAUAAAACUUUCAUAUCUAAAAACCCUAAAUUAAAUUAAACUAUUUCAAUUGAAUCCAACAAACAAAUUAGACCGAAAACCAAUUAAUAUGAUUGGUUCGGCCACCUAUCUAGUUUUAAAAACCUUAACCAGCACAACAUCAGUAUGUGAAUUUAAUUUCGUAUUUAUUUAAUUUGGUUAGCACAUAUUAAUAGUUUUCAUAUUCUCUUUAGUUUUUGUAUAUUGGGAUUGUGUAAAAUUUAAAAUUUUAGAUAUUUUUAUGUUCAUAUUUUGUUUCAUAAAUAUAUAGGGGUAAGCUCUCACUAAUUUUCUCAAGCUUUUAGGAGUUCCUUCUAUUGAAGCAAUAUCAUGAGCGAAUCUAUAAUCAAUAUAUAUGAGAAAGAAAAAAUAUAUAAAAAAGUAAAAUAAAAAAUGAAAAUAGAUUUGGACACUUAUGGAUGUUAUCAAACUAUUGUCUAACUCGUGUUAUGAAAAAAAAAUCACAAUUAAAAGAAUAUUGUAUGCUUCAAUGAAAGUCACAAUUUAUCUUUGAUCAUGCUUGUUUGCAACUAAGUAGCAAUAAUGUAACUACAUGUUCCUACAAACCUCGCACUAGUCGACUUUGCCCUAUGAUCCAUUAGUCGAAUUUGUGAUGUCUAUAUUUUAAUAUGCGAGGUAUUUAAAGAAAUAGAUACAUGAAUUUAUUUUUGUAGUGGAUAAAUAUAAUUAUUUAUUUACACAAUAUAUAAACAUAAAAUGAUGUCAUAUUAAUAAUUUAUGAAAAUUAGAUCAAAUUAAAAUUUCAUGUAUAAAAUUAUAUGUUAUGCCAAAGUUUAUAUGUAGUUUUGAGAUUUAUCCCAUUUUCCUAUUAACUUAGCAAGUAGGUUGAGCAUUAAAUGUUCGCUCAAAUAUGAUAGGGGACAUACUUAAAACACAUGUGUACAUGCUAUAUAGGCAACUUGAAUCUAAUUUGUUAAAAGAAGAAGAAGAAGUAAUCCUCUUAAAUUUUAUAAUCUCAGCGUGUUUUUAAUAUGUUAGAAUCAAGUUAUCAAUAUGAUGAGUACACAAGUAUUUACAAUUUAAUCCAUGUCAAAUGAGAACAGAAAUUUAAAAUCUAAAUUGAUAGCUACAAAAAUGAAAUGAUUUUAUUGAUAUAAUAUUAAUACUUUCAAAACUUAAUUAAAAUAUUUUAUAAUUUAUAAAUUAAUUUUAAAAAAAUUAAUUAAUAAAUUGAGAAUAUUUAAUACAAAUAACUUCUUAUAUGAAUAUAAAUAAUUAUAACACAUUUAUUAUUAAAUGAAAAUAAUGUUGUUUGGUUGGAAAUGGUCCCACCGUAUUUUACGUUUGGGGAACAAAGCGACGGUGUUUUGGUUGGAGAAGAAGGAAGUAACGUCGUUAAGUACAUCGUUUUGUUUAUCUUUAUUUUAAAUUUGUUUUCUCGUUUUCUAUUUUACGCCGCUAAUAUUCUUUUUUGAGUAAACUAUAUUAAAAGUCAUUCAACUAGUUAAAAAGUUACAAAAUGAUCACCAAAUUAUUAGUAAUUUCUUUUACCUAAUUAUGAAAAGUUAUAAAAUAAUAAAUUUUUAUUAUUAUUUAGCGCAUACGAGUAUUUGUUAUUUUUUUUCUUUGAAUUUUUCAUUUAUUCAUUGAAUGAAUUAAUAAAUUUCUCUUUAAAAAAUUUACUCGGGGCAGAACAUAACAAGAGUCAAAGCUUCAGCUUGUAAUAUUGGCUUGUGCCAUGAUAGGCCUUUAUAAGGUGUUGUUCAACUUAUAAUUUGAUGUGUGCCAACAUAAGCAUCAACACACAAGUCAUGUAUAUACAGCCAGGACAUCGACAUCUUUUGGAAGAGUCCUAGUCCAAGCAUCAUAAUUGAACAUAGCCUUGGAAUACAUACCGUCUAAAACAAUUAUUGUCUCAUAAUCAAUUGUGCAUCCCUGCAUUUGAAUACUAUUUGGAACAUUAAAAAUGUGUGUUUUCUUGAGUUGGUAUAUAUUAUGCAACAAGAAAAAUAAAGAACACAAUUAAGAUGUUUACGCAGUUCGAAACUCGUCCUACGUCUGCGGGGCUUUGCCCAAAGAUGAAUCCACUAUGAACUUCAUAGUACAAAGAAAUUAUUUAAGCUUAACCCCUCAAACACUUAAUUAUACGUCUGAAGCAUCUUCCUUUUUUUCUUGUUUGGACCUUCAAUAACAAAUUUGGCUGGAAUUCUAAACAGCUAAAAGAGUGCCCUGCAUCAAUGAAUAUUAUGAAUUUGAAUACCUCCAAAAGCCUGUCAAUAUCACAGGUACCAUCCAAGAUAAUACUCAGUUGGCAUAUAUUAAGAGAAAACAUAAAUAUAUAUAUAAAUACAUAUAAUACAACCACAUCAAUGAUUUUUUAGAAUUAAAUUAUUAGAAGCAAUUGUCAAGUUAUUAUUAUGAUUUAAAAGUAAAAAGCAAAUAGAUAAAUUACCACCUCUUUUUAUGCAUGUAAAAUGAUUGAUGUUGACUAAUGCGUUUCUCCAAUGCCUUAAUGCACAAAUCACCAAAAAUAUUAUGAAAGAUGAUAAGUAAAAAGUAGGAUUAAAACAAAGGGAUUUUAACAAGGAAAUUAACAGUAUCCAACUUCAAUGAAAAAUGGCAUCAGACCCCUCACUUGGAGAUUCAAUAUACCACUCUUAUUUUUCUUCAAAAAAAGAUAAGGUCAUCAUAUUAAAUAAAUAACAAAGACAGACCAACCUGAUUCAACCAAAUGUUGGGGAUGUGAGCAAUCUUUUGCCAAUCAGCGCCAAUGUCCUUCCGACAUCUUUCCUCCAACUGAGGAAUUUCUUGUAUGUGUAAAUACUUCAAACUGGUUAGGCAAUGCAUCUGGUCCGGAAGAGAUGUUAAAUUGGGCAAAUUAACGAGAAAAAGCCGUUGCAGAUUUGUUAGAUGUUGAAGCCACUCCGGAAGAUACCGACACUUUGGAAUAUUUUGCAGCUGUAGAAAGCGUAGGCUUGUAUGAUCUUGGAAUAUUUGGAUGCCAGCCCCAGAUAACUCCAGCUCCUUGCAGUCCAUUACUAAAAAGUCUUCAAGGGAAGUGAGAUGUUGGAACACAGGAAGCAGUGACCUCAAUCCAUUGCAGUUAUGAAUUUUUAAUGUUUUCAAUUGAACAAGAUGUUGAAGCCCAAUGGGGAGAGACACCAGCUUUGGAAUAUUAUCAAUCUCCAAAUGAGAGAGAUUCUUAAGGGGUUCCCAUUGCAUGCCCUCUAAAUCAACCUCCUUGCAAUCUCUUAUUGUUAAUCUUUUGAGGCUGGUGAGAUGUUGCAGGCACUCAUCUAGCGUGUGAGUGUCCAACCCCUCAAUGUUGUAUACAUGGAAAGAUUUCAAUUUGGAGAGUGGAAGAGAAGAGGUUGAAGUUGAUGGGGCCUUAGCAUUGAUGUUCAUUUUGAUAGUCUGCUUUAACGGCCUUGAACUGGUAUAGAACAACAUUAGACCUUCAUCGAGUGAUGGAUACAGUGGCAUUAAAAUUAAAGGGCAAUUUUGAAUGUCUAAAGAGGAAAGACUAGGAAAUGCCAUGGUUGAUGUUCCCAUAACUGUUGUGUCGUCCUCGUUGGAAUCAUCAUCGAUUGGUUUUGUCGUCCUCCACCAACUCUUCAUAUUCGGACAGUUCCAGAGCGAAAGAUGCUUCAGUGAUGGGAAGAAUGAUUGUGGUUCUCCUUGACUUCCUUUUGGGCUAUUAUCAUCCAUGUACUCCAGCUUAGUACAAUCAUCUAUGGUCAGCCCUUUAAGACAAGGAAAUUGCGCAAAGGACGGGAUUUGUUUGAAAUUACCACCACUUAUGAAAAUUUUGACGAGAUUUGUGAGCAAAGGAAGCCAACUUGGAAACUUGGCAUCACCCCUCCAUCUUUCAAUACAGAGCUCCUUGAGAUUAGGAUGGGGCUGGAGGUCUUCAAGUGACUUCUCAUCAUCAUCAUCAUCAUCUUCAUCAUCAGAAUCAAAUUUCCAUUGUAAACCCAACCAUCUCAAAUGUUGCUUCUCUUUCAAAUUAGCAGCCUUAAACUUCUCUUUUGCAUUUUUUACGAAUCCCAAAUUUGUUAUUCCUAACCCUCCCCUUAAGUUGUUAAGCAGUCUCAAUUCACUUAGAUCUGCACCGCCAUGGGACCCAUCUUUAUCCACUACAAACAUGCUUAACGUCUCAAGUGAAGUCAGCUUCCCUAUUCCACGUGGCAUAUGAGUUAAACCCCUACAACCUUCACACCCAAGAUGGGUAAGAUUCACCAAUUUUUCAAUCUUCUUUGGCAAUUCUUUAAGCCUAUGACAGCUGUCAAGUUUCAGCGCUAGCAAAUUCUGAAUCUUGCAAAUACUCUCUGGGAGAAUCUUAAUAUUGAAAUUCCAAGAAAGAUCAAGGUACCUCAAAUGUUUCAACUUACAAAUGGAGGGUGAAAUCUUUUGAAUACCUAUAGAAUUCAAUUUCAAUACACGCAANNNNNNNNNNNNNNNNNNNNNNNNNNNNNNNNNNNNNNNNNNNNNNNNNNNNNNNNNNNNNNNNNNNNNNNNNNNNNNNNNNNNNNNNNNNNNNNNNNNNUCAAAUCCCAAGUUUCAUAGCUGAAAUCUUGACUUAUUUUGUCUUGAAAAUGUAACAAGGUUCGCAACUUCUUUCCCUUAAACAAAGGAAUUAAUGAAGGUUUAAUUGAUAUGUGUCGCCAUUUUUCACCAACAUCACUUGCAAUUUUAUUUGAAUCUACAAUACUACUCUCCAUCCCUGCUACUGAUUCAGCUAGAUCAUGCAUUAAAUCAUGCAUUUUACAUGUUAGCCCUUCCCUUGAAUAUCUUUCUCCUACUUCUUGGAAGAAACUUAUUUCAACUAAAUCUUUAAAAUACCCAAACCCGAUCUCCUCCAGAGAUUGACUUUGAUUCAAUUGCUUUAUGAAACCCUGUGCAAUCCAAAAUUNNNNNNNNNNNNNNNNNNNNNNNNNNNNNNNNNNNNNNNNNNNNNNNNNNNNNNNNNNNNNNNNNNNNNNNNNNNNNNNNNNNNNNNNNNNNNNNNNNNNNNNNNNNNNNNNNNNNNNNNNNNNNNNNNNNNNNNNNNNNNNNNNNNNNNNNNNNNNNNNNNNNNNNNNNNNNNNNNNNNNNNNNNNNNNNNNNNNNNNNNNNNNNNNNNNNNNNNNNNNNNNNNNNNNNNNNNNNNNNNNNNNNNNNNNNNNNNNNNNNNNNNNNNNNNNNNNNNNNNNNNNNNNNNNNNNNNNNNNNNNNNNNNNNNNNNNNNNNNNNNNNNNNNNNNNNNNNNNNNNNNNNNNNNNNNNNNNNNNNNNNNNNNNNNNNNNNNNNNNNNNNNNNNNNNNNNNNNNNNNNNNNNNNNNNNNNNNNNNNNNNNNNNNNNNNNNNNNNNNNNNNNNNNNNNNNNNNNNNNNNNNNNNNNNNNNNNNNNNNUGGGUCCUGAUUCCAAAUGUCAUCCAAAACAAGCAAAUAUUUUUUCCCAUCAAUUUUAUCUCGAAGUUGUUUUUGCAAUUGAUCCAUUUCAAGAUUUUGAUCAGGUGCUUGAUGAGUCACAGAUUUGAUAAUGUUUGCUACAAUAACUUUCACAUCAAAAUCAUCUGAAACACACGCAAACAUCGUUAAGUCGAAAUGAUUUUUGACCAUUUCAUGGUUAUAGACAAAUUGGGCCAAAGCAGUCUUCCCU